CAGUCGAACGGAAGGCCCCUUCGGGGGUACUCGAGUGGCGAACGGGUGAGUAACACGUGGGUGACCUGCCCUGCACUUCGGGAUAAGCCUGGGAAACUGGGUCUAAUACCGGAUAGGACCGCAUCGUGAGGAUGUGGUGGAAAGUUUUUUCGGUGCAGGAUGGGCCCGCGGCCUAUCAGCUUGUUGGUGGGGUAAUGGCCUACCAAGGCGGCGACGGGUAGCCGGCCUGAGAGGGUGGACGGCCACAUUGGGACUGAGACACGGCCCAGACUCCUACGGGAGGCAGCAGUGGGGAAUAUUGCACAAUGGGCGCAAGCCUGAUGCAGCGACGCCGCGUGGGGGAUGAAGGCCUUCGGGUUGUAAACUCCUUUCAUCAUCGACGAAGGGCUCACUUGUUGUGGGUUUGACGGUAGGUGGAGAAGAAGCACCGGCUAACUACGUGCCAGCAGCCGCGGUAAUACGUAGGGUGCGAGCGUUGUCCGGAAUUACUGGGCGUAAAGAGCUCGUAGGUGGUUUGUCGCGUCGUCUGUGAAAUUCCGGGGCUUAACUCCGGGCGUGCAGGCGAUACGGGCAUAACUUGAGUGCUGUAGGGGAGACUGGAAUUCCUGGUGUAGCGGUGAAAUGCGCAGAUAUCAGGAGGAACACCGAUGGCGAAGGCAGGUCUCUGGGCAGUAACUGACGCUGAGGAGCGAAAGCAUGGGGAGCAAACAGGAUUAGAUACCCUGGUAGUCCAUGCCGUAAACGGUGGGCGCUAGGUGUAGGGGUCUUCCACGACUUCUGUGCCGUAGCUAACGCAUUAAGCGCCCCGCCUGGGGGAGUACGGCCGCAACGCUAAAACUCAAAGGAAUUGACGGGG
rnacentral:rRNA from 1 species